AUGGCAGGAGGAACUGGAGGAGCUGGGGGAGGAACAGGGGGAGGGGACUCGUUGGCUCGCAGGGCCUGGAGGCAGUACCUGCUCCAGCUGCAGCGCCACCCACUCCGCACCAAGAUGAUCACUGCGGGGUGCCUCGCAGGCGUCAGCGACUCCGUGGCGCAGAAGCUCUCUGGAUAUCAGAAGAUUGAGAAGCGCCGCCUCCUGCUCAAGAUGAUAUUUGGGUUUGCAUAUGGUGGCCCAUUUGGGCAUUUCCUGCAUAAAGUGUUGGAUUAUAUCUUUAAAGGGAAGAAGGAUACCAAAACUGUAGCUAAGAAGGUGUUGCUGGAGCAGAUCACUUCCUCUCCCUGGAACAAUUUACUCUUCUUAUUCUAUUAUGGAUAUGUUGUUGAGAAGAGGCCUUUCAAGGAGGUGAAGACUAGGGUGAAGAAACAAUAUCUGUCAGUGCAAUUGUCUGCUUGGAUGUUUUGGCCAGUAGUUGGUUGGAUAAACCAUCAAUACGUGCCUUUGCAGUUUCGGGUGAUUGUCCACAGCUUUGUUGCAUGUUGCUGGGGGAUAUUUCUCAACCUUCGCGCCAGAGCCAUGUCUUUGAAGCAGUCAUAG
rnacentral:rRNA from 1 species